UACGAAGUGGGCUAGCGUUGCUCGGAAUCACUGGGCGUAAAGCGCACGUAGGCGGGUCUCUAAGUCAGGGGUGAAAUCCUGGAGCUCAACUCCAGAACUGCCUUUGAUACUGGGGAUCUCGAGUCCGGGAGAGGUGAGUGGAACUCCGAGUGUAGAGGUGAAAUUCGUAGAUAUUCGGAAGAACACCAGUGGCGAAGGCGGCUCACUGGCCCGGUACUGACGCUGAGGUGCGAAAGCGUGGGGAGCAAACAGG
rnacentral:rRNA from 1 species